rnacentral:tRNA from 1 species
GCACUUAUAGCUCAGGUGGAUAGAGCGCUCCCCUCCUAAGGGAGAGGCCGCUGGUUCGAAUCCAGCUAGGUGCACCA